AGAAGAAGAAGAAGAAGAAACAGCAGCAGCAGCCAGGAUAAGAAGAGGAGCUUUCGUUUCCCGAAGGAAGGUCGGAGAGUGAUAGACAGUGACAUAUAAUUUCAAGGGAGCUGCUCUUUGAUCUUCUUUCCUGGAAUCGAAUUUUCCUUGGGUUUAGUUUUCCCCUCCAAAUCCUUAUCACUUGGGGGUUUUUCAUUCAUGGGAACAGUGGUUGUCUUGGAUGCUACACAAAGCCGAAACUAAAAACUGAGCUGAAUGAACCAUCGAAAGGUCAACAAAUUCAGUGUCAUGGACUAAAGAAACCCAGCAUAUCAGAGGAUUUCUGGACUACUAGUACAUUUGAUGUGGACAACAGUGCAGGUCAAUCACAAGGAAGUAUGUCAUCAAUGAGUACAAUCAACCAGAUGCACGAUCCACAUGGUAGCUCGGGCAAUGUACACAACCCUUCAGAGUUUAUAAAUCAUGGCCUUCUUCUGUGGAAUCAAACUAGGCAACGCUGGACAGGGAAUAAACGAUCCGAAAACCAAGCACCGCAGUUUCAAGAACCCAAGUUAGAUUGGAAUGCAACCUAUGAAAGUUUACUAGGGAGCAACAAGCCAUUUCGUCAACCUAUUCCGCUCAGCGAAAUGGUAGAUUUUCUUGUGGAUGUAUGGGAACAAGAAGGGUUGUAUGAUUGAUUAAUUUGAAGGGUGCACAAGGCUUCGUUUGGAAGAAGUUGAAUCAUAAUCACACUGUCAAGAGCUUCAUUUGAACCAUUGAAAUCUGCCUUGUAUUUGCUGAAACGCAUUCAAAUUAACAUUUUCCCUGCUGCCUGCCUAUUUUUGGUGCUUGGUUUGUUUUUCUCUUAAUGCCUUGGUUUGGUAAUUGCUGUAGAGUUUUAUAUCUUUACUCUGUUGUAGAAAAUUCAGCUGUGAUGGAAA
rnacentral:misc_RNA from 1 species